rnacentral:rRNA from 1 species
CCUACGGGAGGCAGCAGUGGGGAAUAUUGCACAAUGGGGGAAACCCUGAUGCAGCGACGCCGCGUGAGUGAAGAAGUAUUUCGGUACGUAAAGCUCUAUCAGCAGGGAAGAAAAUGACGGUACCUGACUAAGAAGCCCCGGCUAACUACGUGCCAGCAGCCGCGGUAAUACGUAGGGGGCAAGCGUUAUCCGGAUUUACUGGGUGUAAAGGGAGCGUAGACGGCAGCGCAAGUCUGGAGUGAAAUCCCAUGGCUUAACCAUGGAACUGCUUUGGAAACUGUGCAGCUAGAGUGCAGGAGAGGUAAGCGGAAUUCCUAGUGUAGCGGUGAAAUGCGUAGAUAUUAGCAGGAACACCAGUGGCGAAGGCGGCUUACUGGACUGUAACUGACGUUGAGGCUCGAAAGCGUGGGGAGCAAACAGGAUUAGAUACCCCGGUAGUC